UGAUGAGUGUAACAGCGGGGACAACCUGUGCCAACGCAACGCCAACUGCAUCAACAUCCCAGGAAGUUACCGCUGCGAGUGUUCGCCGGGAUUCAAACUGUCGCCCAGCGGGGCCUGUGUGGACCGUAAUGAGUGCCAGGAGAUCCCUAACGUGUGCAGCCAUGGAGAGUGCAUCGACACGCAGGGGAGCUACCGCUGCAUCUGCCAGAACGGAUUCAAGGCCACUGCCGACCAGACCAUGUGCAUGGACAGGGAUGAGUUUGACA